GGAGAGGUGACCGAGUGGCCGAAGGUGAUCGCCUGCUAAGCGAUUAGGGGGUGUAAAACCUCCUCGAGGGUUCAAAUCCCUCCCUCUCCGCCA
rnacentral:tRNA from 1 species